rnacentral:lncRNA from 1 species
GGGAAAUAAUCCGUGAGUAUAGAUGAGGAUGGCAGAGAAGAGUGCUCGUUCGCAGUUUUCCAUGUAAAGUCCCUGACUAGUUUGUCAUGUCAGUUGUCAUCCCCACCCAAAAAAGGAAUUAUUUCUAACCUAGCUGUAUCACUUGAAACUUUAGAAACAAAGUAAUCAGGGAAGUUUCUAGAGAGAAAGGUGUCAGGUUUUUGGUUUUGUUUUGUUUUUCCUUGAGGAUUGGGGUCAAGAAUACCUCCCCCCAAAACUGUCAGCACAAAACAGGGUAUUGACUUUUAACUCUGAUGUUGCUAUUGGAGUUGAAUACUAAAUAAGUAACUAUAGUGAGGAAAAUACAUUUCUAAUAAAAUUCCCUACAUUCUAGAAGCAUCCCUGAAUGCCCUUUUUACACAAACAUUUAUGUGCUGUCACAUAAACAUGCUUUUAAAAACUC